rnacentral:pre_miRNA from 1 species
UCUUACGGAUGAGCAAAGAAAAUGGUUCCUUGAGAUGGAAUCUACUCCUGGUGAAGGUGCUGUGAA